rnacentral:rRNA from 1 species
CCUAGGGUGGCAGCAGUGGGGAAUAUUGGGCAAUGGGCGCAAGCCUGACCCAGCAACGCCGCGUGAAGGAAGAAGGCUUUCGGGUUGUAAACUUCUUUUCUCAGGGACGAAGCAAGUGACGGUACCUGAGGAAUAAGCCACGGCUACCUACGUGCCAGAAGCCGCGGUACUACGUAGGUGGCAAGCAUUAUCCGGAUUUACUGGGUGUAAAGGGCGUGUAGGCGGGACUGCAAGUCAGAUGUGAAAACCACGGGCUCAACCUGGGGCCUGCAUUUGAAACUGUAGUUCGUGAGUACUGGAGAGGCAGACGGAAUUCCUAGUGUAGCGGUGAAAUGCGUAGAUAUUAGGAGGAACACCAGUGGCGAAGGCGGUCUGCUGGACAGCAACUGACGCUGAGGCGCGAAAGCGUGGGGAGCAAACAGGAUUAGAUACCCCAGUAGUC